GUGAAAACGAAAGCAGGUCCUCAGCGUCAGGUUCCUGUAUCAGAGGCUAGCAGGGAACGGAAGAACAACAACAUGAAUAAAAGUGACUCACAUCAGCAACUAAAGGUAUUUAAGCCCAGAGAAAGGUGAGCUCUGGUGCCAGAGAGGUGUGUGUUUGGUGGCUGCAGCUAGUGAGCUGUAUUUUGUGAUUGCUUGCUCCUGCCCGGUGGAGAGGAGUGUGUUUGGUCACUAAACUCUUCUUUGCUUUUCAGUUAACUUACCGAUGCCUGAGUUUUUGUUUGUUUCCUUAAAUGGUGAUAGCGGCUUGCCCGUCUCUUUUAGUUGAGUUAUUAAUAGAAACUUUAAUAAAACUCUUUAAUUUAACAAUUUUGCCUCCAUCUCCUUUUUCUGACCCGGACACUUUUUGUUACUUUCCCUCAUCACCUGGACCCCUUUUAGGGGAACGUAACACCACAUUUGAAAUUUUUGGUUCAAAUCAUGGAGGAGGUCAGGAGGCAAGGCAAGAAAAAGUAAAAAUUUAUUCACAUGUUGAUGGACAGACGAUGGGCUCUCAUGUUGAUUUUCUCAAAAAACUCUUCAAACGAGGAGCAAUACAAGAGGAGUUCGCUGAUAAG